GUGGAAGUAAAAUUCCAUGGAGGACCGAACCGACCUCCGUUGAAAAGGCGGCGGAUGAACUGUGGGUAGCGGAGAAAUUCCAAUCGAACCCGGAGAUAGCUGGUUCUCCCCGAAAUAGUUUUAGGACUAGCCUCAAGUUAGAUACCUGGAGGUAAAGCACUGAAUAGCCUAGCGGCCGAGAGGUUAGCGAAGCUUAUCAAACUCAGAAUGCCAGAGUAUUGAUGCUUGGGAGUCAGACAGUGUCAGAUAAAUGUCAUUGUCAAAAGGGAAACAGCCCAGAUCUACAGCUAAGGUCCCAAAGUCAGGUUAAGUGGAAAACGAUGUGAAGAUACGCAGACAACCAGGAUGUUGGCUCAGAAGCAGCCACUCAUUCAAAGAGUGCGUAAUAGCUCACUGGUCGAGCGUCUUUGCGCGGAGAAUUUAACGGGGCUAAACCUGACACCGAAGCUUAGGCAAUACAGCAAUGUAUUGGGUAGGGGAGCGUUGUAUACGCGGUGAAACAGUAGCGCAAGCGGCUGUGGAGUGUAUAGAAGUGAGAAUGCCGGAAUGAGUAGCGCGAAUGCAGUGAGAAUCUGCAUGGCCGAAAGCCUCAGGUUUCUGGAGGAAGGUUCGUCCGCUCCAGGUUAGUCGGGAGCUAAGGUGAGGCCUAACGGCGUAGCCGAUGCACAGACGGUAGAGAUUCCGUCACCACCAAAAGAGUUAAACACAGGGACACAUAUGAAGUCUCGGAGCCGGGUGUUGGUUCCGGUAGCGAUCGAGGGAAGUUAGUACCGAAGUCCGGGAUGGAAGAUGGCGAGAAAAGCUGUGUGUAUUUCUGCGGUGCCCGUACCGCAAACCGACACAGGUAGGUAGGAAGAAGAUUCUAAGGCCAACGGGAGAAGGGUUGUUAAGGAACUCGGCAAAUUGACCCCGUAACUUCGGGAGAAGGGGUGCUCCAGAGAUGGAGCCGCAGAGAAUCGGCCCAAGCAACUGUUUACCAAAAACACAGGUUUGUGCUAAAUCGAAAGAUGACGUAUACGAGCUGACGCCUGCCCGGUGCUGGAAGGUUAAGAGGAGAUGUGCAAGCAUUGAAUCGAAGCCCCAGUGAACGGCGGCCGUAACUAUAACGGUCCUAAGGUAGCGAAAUUCCUUGUCAGGUAAG
rnacentral:rRNA from 1 species